AAAGUUGUUGCAGUUAAAAAGCUCGUAGUUGGACUUCAGAGUGAGCUCAUACGGUCGGCCUAAUGGGUCAGAACUGGGUGACUUUCUCUUGCUUGUGGAUCCCGUCCGGAGUUAACUCUUCGGAUGUGGACUCCACAUCGUUUACCUUGAAAAAAUUAGAGUGUUCAAAGCGGGCGUUUGCUUGAAUAUAUUAGCAUGGAAUAAUGGAAUAGGACCCUGGUUCUAUUUUGUUGGUUUUGAGAACCAGAGUAAUGAUUAAUAGGGAUAGUUGGGGGCAUUCAUAUUUCAUUGUCAGAGGUGAAAUUCUUGGAUUUAUGAAAGAUGAACUUCUGCGAAAGCAUUUGCCAAGGAUGUUUUCAUUAAUCAAGAACGAAAGUUAGGGGAUCGAAGACGAUCAGAUACCGUCGUAGUCUUAACCAUAAACUAUGCCGACUAGGGAUUGGGCGUGGUUUGUUCAUUGACCCGCUCAGCACCUUACGAGAAAUCAAAGUCUUUGGGUUCCGGGGGGAGUAUGGUCGCACGGCUGAAACUUAAAGGAAUUGACGGAGGG
rnacentral:rRNA from 1 species